GAUGAACGCUAGCGGCAGGCCUAAUACAUGCAAGACGAACGGUAAGUUUGAUAGCAAUAUUGAACCAAGAGUGUCGUAAGGGUGCGUAACACGUAUGCAAUCUGCCCUCAACAGGAGUAUAGCUCGGGGAAACUCGAAUUAACCCUCCAUAAGAUUGUGGUGUGGCAUCACACAGCAAUUAAAACCACGGUGGUUGAGGAUGAGCAUGCGCAUGAUUAGUUAGUUGGCGGGGUAACGGCCCACCAAGACGAUGAUCAUUAGGGGAACUGAGAGGUUGAUCCCCCACACUGGCACUGGGAUACGGGCCAGACUCCUACGGGAGGCAGCAGUAGGGAAUAUUGGACAAUGGGUGAGAGCCUGAUCCAGCCAUGCCGCGUGCAGGAAGAAGGCCUUCUGGGUUGUAAACUGCUUUUAUCUGGGGAUAAAAAGGCCUUGCGAGGCAAACUGAAGGUACCAGAUGAAUAAGCCACGGCUAACUACGUGCCAGCCGCCGCAGUAACAC
rnacentral:rRNA from 1 species